AUGGCGGCGCGGAAGCUCAUCCUCGGCCUCACAGCAGCAAGGCGAGCCAGUUCUCGGGCCUCUGUACUCCUCCGGGCUUCACCCCUCCUGGAAGCCUCCACUUCUGCCUCCCACGCCACCGCCGCCGCGACGAAUGGAUCGCCAAGGGCGCUGCUCUUCUCCUCUAGGGUCUUCUCGUCGACCCCUCCGGCUCAACAGUCCGCCGGAGAUGUGCCCGCCCCAUCCGCGGUGGACCACAAGUUGAUAAUUCCAGAGGAUAAGUUCCAUAAAUUAGCAGAUGAUACAAUACAUGAUUUGCUUGAAAAACUUGAGGAAUAUGGUGAUUCUCAGCAGAUGGAUGGCUUCGACAUAGAUUAUGGGAAUCAAGUUCUAACAUUGAGGCUAGGCGAUUUGGGGACCUAUGUUGUAAACAAGCAAACGCCAAACAGACAAAUCUGGCUAUCUUCACCUGUGAGUGGGCCUGCGAGGUUUGACUGGGAUGCAGCAACAGACAGUUGGGUUUAUAGGCGGACUGGAGUAAAUCUCAUGCGGCUUCUAGAGAAGGAGAUCGGUGAGCUCUGUGGGACUCCAGUAGACCUUUCAUAA
rnacentral:rRNA from 1 species